UACAGAGGUCUCAAGCGUUGUUCGGAUUCAUUGGGCGUAAAGGGGUGCGUAGGCGGCGCGGUAAGUCGGGUGUGAAAUCUUGGAGCUUAACUCCGAAACUGCAUUCGAUACUGCCGUGCUUGAGGACUGGAGAGGAGACUGGAAUUUACGGUGUAGCGGUGAAAUGCGUAGAUAUCGUAAGGAAGACCAGUGGCGAAGGCGGGUCUCUGGACAGUUCCUGACGCUGAGGCACGAAGGCCAGGGGGAGCAAACGGG
rnacentral:rRNA from 1 species